rnacentral:tRNA from 1 species
UCCGUGGCGCAAGCGGUUAGCGCUUUCGGCUGUUAACCGAAAGGUUAGUGGUUCAAGCCCACCUUGGA